UACGUAGGGGGCAAGCGUUAUCCGGAUUUACUGGGUAUAAAGGGAGCGUAGACGGCAGAGCAAGUCCGGAGUGAAAGCCCGGGGCCCAACCCCGGGACUGCUCUGGAAACUGUUAAGCUGGAGUGCGGGAGGGGCAGGCGGAAUUCCUGGUGUAGCGGUGAAAUGCGUAGAUAUCAGGAGGAACACCGGCGGCGAAGGCGGCCUGCUGGACCGUGACUGACGUUGAGGCUCGAAAGCGUGAGGAGCAAACAGG
rnacentral:rRNA from 1 species